rnacentral:rRNA from 1 species
UACGGAGGGUGCAAGCGUUAUCCGGAUUCACUGGGUUUAAAGGGCGCGUAGGCGGCCAGCGCAAGUCAGUUGUGAAAUCUCCGAGCUUAACUCGGAAAGGUCAACUGAUACUGCGCGGCUAGAGUGCAGAAGGGGCAACUGGAAUUCUCGGUGUAGCGGUGAAAUGCGUAGAUAUCGAGAGGAACACCUGCGGCGAAGGCGGGUUGCUGGGCUGACACUGACGCUGAGGCGCGAAAGCUAGGGGAGCGAACGGG